rfam:Populus trichocarpa scaffold_10_contig_187, whole genome shotgun sequence.
UCUAGAACUCAAGAUAUGGAUGAACACUGAACAGUAUUUGGGAUGCAGGACAAAUUCCGACAUCUCUUUUGUUGCUAUAAUUUGAGCUUGAAAACGACCGUUUUCAAUAGUUUCAUGAAAGUUUUAGGCCUAUGUCUUAGCUUUCCAUC